rnacentral:rRNA from 1 species
UACGUAGGGGGCAAGCGUUAUCCGGAUUUACUGGGUGUAAAGGGAGCGUAGACGGCAUAGCAAGUCUGGAGUGAGAGCCCGUGGCUCAACCGCGGAACUGCUUUGGAAACUGUUAAGCUGGAGUACUGGAGAGGCAAGCGGAAUUCCUAGUGUAGCGGUGAAAUGCGUAGAUAUUAGGAGGAACACCAGUGGCGAAGGCGGCUUGCUGGACAGAGACUGACGUUGAGGCUCGAAAGCGUGGGGAGCAAACAGG